GGUGAGAUGCCCGAGUGGAUUAAGGAACACGUUUGGAAAAUGUGUAUACAAAUACUGUAUCGAGGGUUCGAAUCCCUCUCUCACCG
rnacentral:tRNA from 1 species